UACGGAGGGUGCGAGCGUUAUUCGGAAUUACUGGGCGUAAAGCGCGCGUAGGCUGUUUAGUAAGUUUGAUGUGAAAUCCCAUGACUUAAUCAUGGAAGUGCGUUGAAUACUGCUAGACUGGAGUGUUGGAGGGGAGAACGGAAUUCCUGGUGUAGAGGUGAAAUUCGUAGAUAUCAGGAGGAACAACGGAGGCGAAGGCGGUUCUCUGGACAACAACUGACGCUGAGGUGCGAAAGCGUGGGGAGCAAACAGG
rnacentral:rRNA from 1 species